CACGUAGGGCGCAAGCGUUGUCCGGAAUUAUUGGGCGUAAAGGGCUCGUAGGCGGUCUGUUGCGUCCGCUGUGAAAACUCGGGGCUUAACCCCGAGCCUGCAGUGGAUACGGGCAGACUAGAGGUAGGUAGGGGAGAAUGGAAUUCCCGGUGUAGCGGUGAAAUGCGCAGAUAUCGGGAGGAACACCGGUGGCGAAGGCGGUUCUCUGGGCCUUACCUGACGCUCAUGCACGAAAGCGUGGGGAGCAAACAGG
rnacentral:rRNA from 1 species